GGGGAAUAGGAAGGAAAUAAAAUAAAAUAUCCUUUUCUUUUUCUUUCCUUUUUCUUUUUUCCUCUUUUUCUUCUCCCCUUCCAUCUUCUUCCUCACGCAAACCCAGCAUCUCCGUCGCCGGCUUCGACCAACAUCUCUUGUCGCCGACCUCGACCAACAUCUCCUUGCUGCUGACCUUGACCACCAACUCAGAUCCAAGCCGCGAGCAACCCAGCUUCGACUUGGGCUUCUUCGCACCUCAACUGUUCGCGGCAUCCAGAUUUGAUUCCAGUCUCCCACGCCGAGCCGCCCGCGUUCGCGUCGCCCAGAUCUGAUUCCUGUCUCCCACCGAAGCCACUGCCUAGAACUGCUCCCACCAAUUGAAGCCGCGACGUCGACGCCCAGCCGCCCAGGUCUGCGCCGCCUAGACAUACGCACUCCCAGCCAGCCGUGCCCUCCCCUCGCCGUUAGCUUGACCUUGUCGUCGAACCAGUUUCCACCGCAAAUCUCCUUCGCCACUUGGUUCUUAUGGAAUCUUGGUUGGAGUUAAUUGGGGUGGUUUGGAGGAGAAUUUGUGCAUUGUCCAGCGGGUGUCGAAGUUCCUUCUUCGUGGCGAUUUGAUUCAAGACUUGAGACGUUUAGGGUGUUGCUCAUCAAAUUAAAGGCCAAUUAUCUUUUGAAGUUUGGUAAAGGUAGAGAUGCACCAGCGAUGGACAAGCGGAAUUCGUGAUCGAGCCACUGGGACUAGU